rnacentral:rRNA from 1 species
UACGUAGGGGGCAAGCGUUGUCCGGAAUCAUUGGGCGUAAAGCGCGUGUAGGCGGCCAGGUAAGUCCGUUCUGAAAGCCCGGGGCUCAACCCCGGGAGGCGGAUGGAUACUGCUUGGCUCGAGUCCGGAAGAGGCGAGUGGAAUUCCCGGUGUAGCGGUGAAAUGCGCAGAUAUCGGGAGGAACACCAAUGGCGAAGGCAGCUCGCUGGGACGGUACUGACGCUGAGGCGCGAAAGCGUGGGGAGCGAACAGG